rnacentral:piRNA from 1 species
UGUGCUUGUAAGAAAUGCAUGUACUGUUUCC